rnacentral:tRNA from 1 species
ACCUGGCUGGCUCAUUUGGUAGAGCAUGUGACUCGAUCUCGGGGUUGUGAGUUCGAUCCCCACGUUGGGUG